rnacentral:rRNA from 1 species
UGGGGAAUUUUGGGACAAUGGGCGAAAGCCUGAUCCAGCAAUGCCGCGUGUGUGAAGAAGGCCUUCGGGUUGUAAAGCACUUUUGUCCGGAAAGAAAUCCUUGGCUCUAAUACAGUCGGGGGAUGACGGUACCGGAAGAAUAAGCACCGGCUAACUACGUGCCAGCAGCCGCGGUAAUACGUAGGGUGCAAGCGUUAAUCGGAAUUACUGGGCGUAAGCGUGCGCAGGCGGUUUGCUAAGACCGAUGUGAAAUCCCCGGGCUCAACCUGGGAACUGCAUUGGUGACUGGCAGGCUAGAGUAUGGCAGAGGGGGGUUAGAAUUCCACGUGUAGCAGUGAAAUGCGUAGAGAUGUGGAGGAAUACCGAUGGCGAAAGGCAGCCCCCCUGGGGCCAAUACUGACGCUCAUGCACGAAAGCGUGGGGAGCAAACAGGAUUAGAUACCCUGGUAGUCCACGCCCUAAAACGAUGUCAACUAGUUGUUGGGGGAUUCAUUUCCUUAGUAACGUAGCUAACGCGUGAAGUUGACCGCCU